rnacentral:rRNA from 1 species
GAUGAACGCUGGCGGCGUGCCUAAUACAUGCAAGUCGAGCGAACGGACCAGGCGCUUGUUUCUCUGAUGUUAGCGGCGCGCGGGUGAGUAACACGUGUAUAACCUACUUAUCAGUCUGGGAUAACUUCGGGAAACCGGAUCUAACACCGGAUAAUAUUUUGAACCGUAUGGUUCAAAAGUGAAAGUCGGUCUUGCUGUCUCUUCUAGAUGGUUCCGCGCUGCAUUAGCUAGUUGGUAAGGUAACGGCUUUCCAAGGCAACGAUGCAUAGCCGACCUGAGAGGGUGAUCGGCCACACUGGAACUGAGACACGGUCCAGACUCCUACGGGAGGCAGCAGUAGGGAAUCUUCCGCAAUGGGCGAAAGCCUGACGGAGCAACGCCGCGUGAGUGAUGAAGGUCUUCGGAUCGUAAAACUCUGUUAUUAGGGAAGAACAUAUGUGUAAGUAACUGUGCAGAUCUUGACGGUACCUAAUCAGAAAGCAACGGCUAACUACGUG